GUGAGGAAUAUUGGUCAAUGGGCGGGAGCCUGAACCAGCCAAGUCGCGUGAAGGAAGAAGGAUCUAUGGUUCGUAAACUUCUUUUGCAGGGGAAUAAAGUGCAGGACGUGUCCUGUUUUGUAUGUACCCUGAGAAUAAGGAUCGGCUAACUCCGUGCCAGCAGCCGCGGUAAUACGGAGGAUCCGAGCGUUAUCCGGAUUUAUUGGGUUUAAAGGGUGCGUAGGUGGUUUGAUAAGUCAGCGGUGAAAGUUUGCAGCUUAACUGUAAAAAUGCCGUUGAAACUGUCGGACUUGAGUGUAAAUGAGGUAGGCGGAAUGUGUGGUGUAGCGGUGAAAUGCAUAGAUAUCACGCAGAACUCCGAUUGCGAAGGCAGCUUACUAAGCUACAACUGACACUGAAGCACGAAAGCGUGGGGAUCAAACAGGAUUAGAUACCCGUGUAGUCC
rnacentral:rRNA from 1 species